rnacentral:rRNA from 1 species
GACGUAGGUGGCAAGCGUUGUCCGGAAUUAUUGGGCGUAAAGCGCGCGCAGGUGGUUUCUUAAGUCUGAUGUGAAAGCCCACGGCUCAACCGUGGAGGGUCAUUGGAAACUGGGGGACUUGAGUGCAGGAGAGAAGAGUGGAAUUCCACGUGUAGCGGUGAAAUGCGUAGAGAUGUGGAGGAACACCAGUGGCGAAGGCGACUCUUUGGCCUGUAACUGACGCUGAGGCGCGAAAGCGUGGGGAGCAAACAGG